CCUACGGGAGGCAGCAGUGGGGAAUAUUGGGCAAUGGGCGCAAUCCUGACCCCUCACAGCCGCGUGAAGGAAGAAGGCUUUCGGGUUGUAAACUUCUUUUCUCCGGGACUAAACAAGUGACGGUACCUGAGGAAUAAGCCACGGCUAACUCCGUGCCAGCAGCCGCGGGAAUACGUAGGUGGUAAGCGUUAGCCGGAUUUACUGGGUGUAAAGGGCGUGUAGGCGGGAAAGCAAGUCAGAUGUGAAAACCAUGGGCUCAACCUGUGGCCUGCAUUUGAAACUGUUUUUCUUGAGUACUGGAGAGGCAGACGGAAUUCCUAGUGUAGCGGUGAAAUGCGUAGAUAUUAGGAGGAACACCAGUGGCGAAGGCGGUCUGCUGGACAGCAACUGACGCUGAGGCGCGAAAGCGUGGGGAGCAAACAGGAUUAGAUACCCUUGUAGUC
rnacentral:rRNA from 1 species